GUAUGGUAAAAUCCAAAUUACUUGGAAUUGUUGAAAACUUGAAAGAUUGGUUCCAGUUUUCUGGUAUAGAGAAUCAAUAGCUGAAAUACUUCUACGGUGGUUUGAAAAUGCAUUUUUUUAAAAAAAUGCUGUUUAAACAUUGGCAUUGAAAGAUAAAUAAUAGUUCCCUGAAGUUCGAAACAAUUUCAAUUCUUGUUCCGGUUGUGCCCCUUUUUUCAGCUAUCUGGGGUCACAUUUUGCCGAUAUCCUUCUGGUUUUAUGGUUACCUGUAAAUAAUACGUUUUCUAAACUCUUGACAUGGCCCAAUCCGAUCAGGAUGAGGUGGGAACUUCCAAAUUCUAUGCCAUCAAAUUGGGCCUUUGGUUGUCUUGUAAACUGCUUGACCGUAUGUUGGAUAUCAUACUGUUUGUUGAUCGUAAGAGAUUUUUCGUAAAUGAUUGUCUAACGUUUCCUCAAAGUAUGUGUUUUUAGAUUCCGCCAUGUACGCAUUUAGAACUCGGCCAUGUCAUAGUGUCAUGGGCUAAGUAAACUAUGUUUGAAAGACGUGGACUUCCAUUUUCUUGAAGGCACACAAUAUACCCGUUUUAAUUGGACAACCCUCUACCUGCAUUAAUUGGGCUGUGAUGAACUAUGCUUCUUCUGACACCUCUUGUAUGAGAAGGAUUCUUCCGUAGUCCUUCCUUGAGCAGAGUAGCAACCAUCUGAGCCAUCUUUUGCUCUGCAGCAGUUCUCUACUUACUCUUUCGGUGAAUCCCCUUAAUGCAAGUUGCAUUAGGGGACUAGUCAUUCUUGAACGCACUGAAUAUGCCCCGUUUAAUUGGACUACCCUCUACUUGCAUUAAUUGGGCUGUGAUGAACUAUGCUUCUUCUGACACCUCUUGUAUGAGAAGGAUUCUUCUGUAGUCCUUCCUUGAGCAGAGUAGCAACUAUCUGAGCCAUCUUUUGCUCUGUAGCAGUUCUCUACUUACUCUUUCCAUGAAUCCGGACUAGUCGUUCUUGAACGCACUGAAUAUGCCCCCCUUUAAUUGGGCUACCCUCUAAUUUCAUCAAUUGGGCCGUGAUGAACUAUGCUUCUUCUGACACCUCUUGUAUGAGAAGGAUCCUUCCAUAGUCCUUCCUUGAGCAGAGUAGCAACUAUCUGAGCCAUCUUUUGCUCUGUCGCAGUUCUCUACUUACUCAUUCCAUGAAUCCCCUAAAACAAGUUGCAUACAUUAAUUGCCUGAGCCUUUAUCAGUUUUUUCAUCUGUUACUUCAUAUUUUGAUUUCUUCAACUAUUCUCUUUGAAAACGUUAAUUGUCUGAGCCUCUGAGCUCUCAGCUUGAAUAAGAACCAAACGCCUGAGCCAUCUUCUGCUUUAUCACAGAUCAUUGUAUACGUAUUCAAUGAAUGAAUGCUACAUAUGAAUUCGUUCCUCCUUUUAUUUUUUUAUCUUUUACAUAGCCUGAAUUGUUGGUGGACAG
rnacentral:lncRNA from 1 species